AGUGGAGAAAAUUCUAAAUAUAGAAAUCUGAAUGACGUCAYCAUACGCGUUUCUAAAAAUAGCUACCCAACCAAGACCCAACCAAGGUUUUAGUGUUGCAGUACCGCUAUUCUUCUACUACUGGGAAGGCCCGUACCUUGUUCUGAAGAGGAUUAGUGAUGUUGUGCAUAAGAUCCAGAAGAGUCCUCGAUCCAAAGMAAGAAUUAUUCACCAUGAUCGUCUCCGGCCCUACCAUGGAGAGAAGGAAAGCACUUGGUUAGACGACGUUGAAGAAGUCCAGCCAGUUACAGCUGACAGCCACGGAAGACCUUCUUCGAAAAAGACACCUGACGAAUGUCAUGAAAGGCCAGAGACCACGGAACCUAGCCUAGUUCGCAAAGAUGAAAGACGCCCGGCAAGACUAAGAAAAUCCCCUGUGUGGGCUAAGGACUAUAAAUUUUGACUUGUUUUGUAAUAAGGAAACGGGACGUGCCCUUCUCUCAGAGGGGGAUAGUGUAAUAGUGUCCGCAGAAGUCUGGGCCGAGUCAGUGUUUUAGUUAGUCGAGUAUUGUUGUAAAGUUCGGGUUCUUAGUGUAUAGUUCUGGUUUCUGAUCGCAAUAAAGUCAAGGAAAAAGGAUCACAACAAAGCGUUACAGUAUGUAUGAUAAAAAGAUGCGGCUCAAGAAAGUGUGACCUGUGCCUCACUGAAAAACUCACUAUAAUCAAGAACAAUAUUAACACUAACAAAACAACUGAAUUAAUCUCAAAAUGCCGACAUAGGAAUAAAUUUCUCUUAUGUAAUACCCAUUAGGGAUUUCCUUGAUAUAAAUACGAGAUGUGUAAAAAUUAAUGUUCAUCGUAGCCUGAUGAUUGUGUAGCAACAUGAAACUUAUAGUCGCUACCCGCGUCAUSUGUCUUUGAUUCCGCUAACUCAUACGUAUGAUAAAAAGAAAUAUUUUAAUAAAUAUUAAGAUAAUGGAUAAAGUGAUGAUAAAUGUGUUCCUCAGUAUGAAGCUUUCAGCUCGUCAAUAAUCUGAGAAUUUUGUAUGUAAGAAUCCCUCUCACGCAUUGCUAUUUUGUUWGCUUCAUUCUGAUUGGAUUUCGUUAAUGUUGUUUUUCAGGAAAUUGAGAUGAACGACAGGAUGCUCUUCCGUGGAACUCAAGAAUCGGCAUUAGAGAGGACGAAAAUAUUAUCUAACAGCCCGUGCAAAUCCACGACUUCCGAACCUGUUAUUGAAAGGGAAAUCAUGGUAAGUA